GACGGAAGGUGCAAGCGUUGUUCGGAAUCACUGGGCUUAAAGGGCGCGUAGGCGGGCAUUCAAGUCUGUGGUGAAAUCCUCCAGCUCAACUGGAGAACUGCCAUGGAUACUGGGUGUCUCGAGGGUGGUAGGGGUAUGCGGAACUAUCGGUGGAGCGGUGAAAUGCGUUGAUAUCGAUAGGAACUCCGGUGGCGAAGGCGGCAUACUGGACCACAUCUGACGCUGAGGCGCGAAAGCCAGGGGAGCGAACGGG
rnacentral:rRNA from 1 species